rnacentral:rRNA from 1 species
GACGAACGCUGGCGGCGUGCUUAACACAUGCAAGUCGAACGGAAAGGCCUGCUUUCCCUUGUGGAUUGCGGGUACUCGAGUGGCGAACGGGUGAGUAACACGUGAGUGAUCUGCCCCCAACUUGGGUAUAAGCCUGGGAAACUGGGUCUAAUUCCCGAUAGGACUGCAGGGUGGUGCCUGUGGUGGAAAACGAUUUUCUAGUGGUUGGGGAUGAGCUCGCGGCCUAUCAGCUUGUUGGUGGGGUAAUGGCCUACCAAGGCGGCGACGGGUAGCCGGCCUGAGAGGGUGGACGGCCACAUUGGGACUGAGAUACGGCCCAGACUCCUACGGGAGGCAGCAGUGGGGAAUAGGGCACGAUGGGCGGAAGCCUGAUGCAGCGACGCCGCGUGGGGGAUGACGGCCUUCGGGUUGUAAACUCCUUUCGACCGCGAGGAAGCCACCUGGUUGGAAGGGUGGUGACGGUAGUGGUAGAAGAAGCACCGGCUAACUACGUG